rnacentral:lncRNA from 1 species
GCGUGAUUGUAUUUUCACAGAUGUCUAAUGCUUCGUCCUCUUCAGCAGGGAGCUUGGCUCCCAUCAAAUGCAUAUGAAAAACUCACGACAACAAGCACUUCUUGUCAGGUAGGUUCCUCACUUUAUGUUGAUCAACUUGUUCUCUGAUUGCAAACUGUAAAUUGGUCCUAAUGAUGCUUUUUCUAGACACUAAUGUUUGCAAGUAGACAGGGUUUGGGUAAAAAAUUAUCUGCUCUGGUGCUAAUGGAAGCUAUAUUUGCUAAGCCAGUCCAACUGGGUCUACCUACCAAGGGUAAGGCAUUAAACAACUGGUAUCUUGGUUAUUUCCUUCAGAAGAAGACUCUGAGAUGAUGGUUUGAGUACAAGUUGAGUGCAAGAAGUGCCCCUAGGAAACUCCAUUCAGAGGAUGGAGAAGCGAAACAAAGAAGAUAGGCAGUAAAGCGUGUGCUAUUAAUAAACCGGCUACCAUAGUGGGUGAUUAGAACCUAAUCCUGAUGAGGAACUCUGGCAACUAGUACACAAGAAACAUCUUGGAAUUAUCCCUACGGAGGGGUGAGGAAGCUGGGAUGUUAAUACUCCAUCUACUGAGAGUCCUGACUUGAGAAGCUUUUGCCAGCAUGGUAAUCUCCAGGUUCUUCUGGUCUACGAUGCCUGGGCAAGGCAGAUGUCUAGUUUUAGAAAAAAGUCCUCAGGAAUAAAGAUACAGAUAUGGACUGUUGGGAGUUGGUUGCAGCACAAUUAAAAGAGUAAAUAAAGUUCAAGAAAUGAGCGUGGGAUGCUGGUAGCUUCUGCUACAACGGGCAGUUUUUUGUUUGCAGACAAAAGGGUGCUCAGGAAUGGAAAAGCAUAGACUUUUUCUGUAAGAAGCACUUGCUAGUUUCCACUUGGAAUCCCUGCAGCUUCAAUAUAUGGACAAUUUCUCAGCAUCCUCAGUCCUGCAUAGUGCCCUGAUCCGUGCCUGGGUGUAGGCCUCUUUUAUCUUGUCAGGCUUAUUGGGAGCUCCCUGAAAGCACGACCCAGUGCCCUGUCUCCUCUAGUUUCCUCACUGGAGAACCCAGCACAGGCCUGGCCAAACGAGAACUCACGUUCUAAUUGAAUUGAUGACCACAUAGGUGAAUACUGCUCUAUACAUGGACUCAAGAGAGAGAGAGAAAAGAAAAGCCAGUUGGAAUGAAAAGUCUUUGCAUAGCUCUUGCUUCUGCCUGCACUGCUGGGUCCCUUGAUGGUCAUGUGUCAGAUUCCUUGUUGUUCAUAUCUCAGCUGCAACGUCACCUCCCUGGGUCAUUCCUGACUCCAUUACUUAAAGUGGCCACCCAGACACUCUUUAGCACAUUACCUUGUAAUUCUCUGCACAGC